rnacentral:lncRNA from 1 species
UUUUUUUUUUUGCUUUUUUAGGGCCGCAUGCUCAGCCUAUGGAAGUUCCCCAGCUAGGGUCAAAUUGGAGCUAUAGCUGCCAGCCUAUACCACAGCCACAGCAAUGUGGGAUCUGAGCCACAUCUGUGACCUACACCAUAGCUCACAGCAAUGCCAGAUCCAUAACCCACUGAGCGAGGCCAGGGAUCAAACCUGUAUCCUCAUAAAUCCUAUCGGGUUUGUUAAUCACUGAGCCACGGAGGGAACUCCACACACCUGAUUUUAAAAUGCAGUUCUAAUAACACUAACUUUUAAUGUUCAAUAAUUUUAUAUCAAAAUUUAAGAUAUAUUUAUAUAUUAUCAAUCAUUUAGUAAUAAAAAAAAAUGUUAAGGAUAACUUAAUCCUGAAGAAAAAAACAACAAGACUUAGAGCAUUGUGGUUACAAAGGAAUCAAAAUUUUUAUUUCAAUUAGGGAUAAAAAUUCUAAAGGAAAAUGGAAUAGAAAUAGAACUUCAAAGAGUAAAAGAAAUGAUAGGAAAUGGAAGAAAAGAUUAUUUACCAGUUUUUUAUUUACUUGCUUUUAGUCUAAAUAUAGCAUCUAUUCAGCAUAUAUUCAGAAAGGUAUAAAAAUCUUAAGGGUAGCUCAAUAAAUUUUCACGAAAUGCUUAUGUAAAACAGCACCCAGAUCAAGAAUAUGAAAAUUUCAUUACCAGCACCCCAGAAACUCUGGGGGGUUUUACCCCCAAAGUUAACCAAUAUUCUUGCUCCCAAGAUCCUAGCUAAAAUGUGCUUGUUUUUGAACUUUAUAUAAAUGAAAUCAUACAUUAUGGGCUUUUUUUUUUCUGUUGCCUUUUACUCAACAGUAUAUUUGCGAAGUUCAUCCAUAUUCACAUAUUGUUUAUAUGCAUAUAAUAGGUAUCAAUAUUUAUUUUAAACUUUUUACCAUACACAAGGAAUUACAUAUCUGAAUCUAUUAAACAUUUGAAUAAAAAUUUGAAUGCCUACUCAAAAGUAUGCAAGUUUAGUUAUUUGAUGUCCACGGGCUUCAAUUUUACCACAUGCAAAAUGGGGUUUAAUACUGUUUUCGCCAUUGAGUUGCUGUGAAUUUAUGUGUGGAAAGUGCUCUGUACAGUUGCUGAUAUGUAUUAUAAAUAGCAAUCAUGGUUGUGGUUGUGGUUGCUCCCUUCCAACACACCAUCUCAACUUUAAUAACACCACCUCCAAAUCCCUUCUCCUUACUGACCCCCAAGUGAUACAACUAAAACCUAUAAACAGGUCCUUCCCGUGCUUAAACUAAUUUUGUUCUAGUUUAUCACUUAAAAUAUGUGGCCCAAGCACUCCUGCAUGACUUGCAAUGACAACAUAAACCAGACCCCUGCCUAUUUUCUCUAUAAAUUAAGGUCACCCAUACAUCUUUACCAAACUGUUGGGAAAAAAUAAAUAAAUAACUGGAGGGGAAAAGACAUUUAAAAAGGAAAAUCUUAGUCUAUAUAUGCAAAGCUCUUGGCAUGAAGCAGGUGCCAAGAGCUGCUUAGGUAGGAAGGGAGAAAGGAAAGACUGAUGUGUGUCUGAUAAUUAUGGUGACAGGUCUCUCUUAAAUCUGUUGGUCUCAAUACCCACAUUCUAGCCCCGUUGGAAAAAAUGGCGUAAGUAAAAUAAGUAAGAUACAUGAUUUUAUCCCAUUUUGUAGAUGAGAAAAUUGUGAUCCUAGGAGGUUUAAGUGCUUUUCCCAAGAAUUUACAGGGAAUUAGUGGCAGAACUAGGAUUCUUCUAUGACUGUCAGAUUCUAGAGCUAUGAUUUUUUUUCUCCAUCCCAUUGCCUCUCUGAAAUGGUCUAAUUUUAACGUGGCAUCUCAAAUACACUCCACUUCUAUGGGGAGAUAAUUUUCAAUUUUAGCCUCUCUGAGCCUCAGGGUGUAGCUUGUAAAAUUGAGCUAGUAAUAGUAAUUGCCUUUUAAAUGAGUUAAUACUUGUGAAGUGCCUAGAAUAGCACUCAGCAAGUGUUACCUCUGUUGUUGUUUUAAUUUUAAACUAUCAGUUCAUUGGAUUUCUGAUUUAAAUAGAAAAUCAGUGUGUGAGGCUUUGGGCCAAUAUAGGCCAGAUCUCUCACGGGAGCAUUAUCCCUUAAACAUAAGGUAAACAUCAACAUUCUGAUAUACCCAUGACUCUUUUCCUAAUCAUUACUAUAGGUCUUUAAUAUUCCUGGGAACUCAAGACCCCAAUGAUAGGUGCUAAAUAAAUGCUAGUUCAAAAUUUGUUGUUAAAAUUCCUGCUUUUGGAGUUCCCAUCAUGGAGCAGUGGAAACAAAUCUGACUAGGAACAAUGAGGAUGCAGGUUCAAUCCCUGGCCUCACUCAGUGGGUUAAGGAUCUGGUGCUGCUGUGAGCUGUGGUAUAGUUCGCAGAUUUGGCUUGGAUCUGGUGUUGCUGUGGCUGUGGUGUAGGCCAACAGCUGUAGCUUGGAUAAGAUGCCUAUCCUGGGAACCUCCAUAUGCUGUAGGUGUGGCCCUAAAAAGCCAAAAAAAACAAAACAAAAAAAAAACUGCUUUUAAAUGCUUGCAACAAACCUAUAAAAUUAGGACAUAUAGAAAGAAAGAAAGAGAGAGAGGGAGGAAGGAACCAUAUAUCCCAUGGUAAAAUUUUAUUCUCAUCUAAUAAAACUUGCCAUAGUAACCUAUUUUUAAAAACUCAAUUUUGGGAGUUCCCAUUGUGGCUCAGUGGUUAACCAAUCCGACUAGUAACCAUGAGGUUGCAGGUUCAAUCCUUGGCCUUGCUCAGUGGGUUAAGGAUCCCACGCUGCCGUAAACUGUGGUGUAGGUCGAAGAUGCAGCUCAGAUCCCACGUUGCUGUGGCUGUGGUGUAAGCCGGGGCAACAGCUCCGAUUUGACCCCUAGCCUGGGAACUUCCAUAUGCCACAGCUGCAGCCCUAAAAAAAAACAAAAAAUAAAAAUAAAAAAAUAAAAAGCAAGACAUGUAAUAAUAUUUGGUGCAGUUCAAAUUGUAUUAAAGAAAAAAAAUUUCUCUCCAUACUGUGUAGCUCAAUUAAAAAUAUAUUUUCUAUUUUAAUAGCGAUGAUAAUAUCCAAAAUUCCAUAACAUUCCAUAAUUUAUGAUGUGUUUUUCUAUUUAUUAUUGCCUUUAAUCUGUAUCAUGAAUAUGUGUUUGACCAGGCAUACUGUAAACAUAAAUGUUGUCAUUUAUAUUCAUGGUAAGAUGAAAAUGAAUGGUGCAUUUCAAAGCAUAAUUUAAAUCAUCCUUUAUGUGUAUGAUAUGGAAGAAAAGGACUUGACCAGGUGCAGACACUACUGCAGAAAUUGAGUAUUUAACAUGGCCACAGUGGAUUAGGCCGAGGCUACAGAGUGACUUAAACAUGAUCCCUGCCCUUUGGGAGGACCUAGUCCAUCUGGAAACACACUUACACACAGCUGUAAACAAAAUCCACAUAGUACACAUUCAUGAGGUGACUCAACAAUAUCCAUUCUUCUAUUGGAUUGUGUCUUCUUCUUACUGAUUUAUAGAAAAUCUUUAUUUGGGGACUGAGACUUUUGUCAACUGAAUGUGGCAAAUAUCUUUUCAUACUGUGCAGUUUAUCUGUUCACUUUCUUCAGUAGUGUCUUCUGAUGGUUACAGUUUCUUAGUUUUAAUGUAGUCCAAUUCAUUAACAUUUUCGUUUAAGGUUACUGCUUUUUUUUUCUCUUAUUGAGAAAUCUUUCCCUAUAGAAUGAUCAUGAAGAUCUUUUAUGUUACCAUCUAGAAAUUUUAUUAUUUUAGUAUUUAUAUUUAUCUAUACAAUCCAACUAGGCUUAAUUAUGGCAUAAGACAGGGAUCAAGUUUCAUUUUUUCCCACACGAAUGUCCAGUUUACCUGGCACCAUCUAUUGAAAAAACCAUCUUGGAGUUCCCGUCGUGGCAUUCAUUAUGUAAAUCACCUAUUUUAUAUCAUUACAUAUAUUUUUAAGGAUGAUGAUAGAAUAAUCAUAAUUUUAGUCAAACUGAAAAAUUGGGGGAGAGCAAAGAGAUGAUAUUAAAAAUUAUCCUAGGAAAAGUGAUACAUACCAGACUGAUCCAAGCACAAUGGGACUUAUAAAACAUUAUAAACUAUAUAUUUGAAAUUGAUGCGUUGUAGAAGGGUAUGAAGUAUAUCAAAGUCAUUAAUGCCAAGGUGUUUUCUGAAGUGAUUAUGUGCUAUAUUACAUCUUCACCAAAUCUUGAUAUUACAGUAACUUCAAAUUUUACCAGUAUAAUAAGUGUAAAAUGUACUUCAUUGUGGUUUAAGGUGGCACAUCCUGAUUAUGAAUAAAGUUGCACAUGUUUUCAUAAGUUUAAUGGCCGUUUAUUUUUUCUCUUCUGUGAAAUGUCUGUUAAUGUCUUUUACCUUCUCCAGUAGAUUGUCUUUUCAUAACGGUUUGAGGUUGUCAUGUUCUAGACACUUAUCCUUCACUGGUUAUAUGUGUUGAAAAUAUCUUCUCCCUGUUUGUAACAUGACGUUUCUUCUGUUUGGGGGGUGGGGCGUCUUGUGAUAAACAUGAUUAUAUGUAUUACUUUUUCUUCAUGUUUUAUGAUUUUGAUAUAUUGAGUAGGAAUCCAUUCCUAUUGAGAGAUUCCAUAUUUAUUUCUAAAAGUAUUGAAGUCUUUCUUUUCACACUGAAAUCCUCCAACUGUCUGGAAUUGAUUUUUGCAUAUGGUGAAGGGAGAGCUUUGGGGGAAGGGUGGAAGGCGGCUGCCCCUUACCUAGUGACCAUUCAGAGGUCCUGAUACAUGUCCUCUGAGGGGAGAAGGCACAGUGUCAGAGUCAUAUCUGAGCAAGUGGCAAAGAGCUGCCAUUGUAGUUCCUGCCAGCAGAGCAGCUGGUGCAGUCUCUACUGUGGUCUUGCUUCCUAUACAGGUCUCAAGGUUUGUUGCCUUUUUCACAGUGUGCAGCCUGAACAAACCCAAUUAGGCCAGUAGGCAAGGUAGAUACCCGAUCCAUUCCCACCCAGCAAAUCCUUCAUACUCUGCUUGCUUACAUCUCUAGAUUCAUGUUUUCUCACUUUGGUCUUCAAAGAUUUUCCUUUAUGAUUGAGCCAUGCAUUUGAAAGAAUGCGUUUUACAUUUCAUCCAGUACUUUAAAUAUCCUUCCCUAGGAAUUGUUCUAUGAACACCUAUCCACUCAGCCAUGUUGCCUGCAACAGAAGUCCCUAAUGUGGCUUCAAAAUAUUUUGAAGUGGACCCUAGGCUAAAUGAACAUUAAACCAAAAUUUGUGCUAAUGGUGUCAGCAUGCUAUAAAGAGGCUAAGUGAUGCUCAGAGACAUUAAAUUACUUUGUCAAUGUGUUUGUUUCUGAGAACACUAUUUUUUAUUUUGUUUUUUAUCUCUAUCUUGCUCUUUAAGGGUUGGCAAUAGUAUAGUUCUUUCAAAAAUCUUUGCAAUGCCUUUUCCCUACCUCUGACAAAGUUCAUUUGAGUGAAUAAUCAUUCCCUGAAUUGUUAUCUGGAAUCAUAUGUGAAGAGAAAAAAGAAAAAUUAAAUUUCCUGAUUAUCAGUAACAAACUUCUAAUUACAAGUGGGUAAUAGGCACUAAAGAUUUAGCCAGGAUAAUCAACAAUGAAAUAUUUCCUAGUAACCAUAUCACCGUGAAAAUAUGUAACUCCUAUCUUAUAAAAUUAAAUUUUAGAACACAAUACAGAGUUCCCAUUGUGGCUCAGUGGAAACGAAUUCUACUAGGAACCACGAGGUUACAGGUUCGAUCCCUGGCCUCACUCAGUGGGUUAAAGAUCUGGCAUUGCCAUGAGCUGUGGUGUAGGUCACAGAUGCGGCUCAGAUCUGGCAUUGCUGUGGCUGCAGCUGUGGCAUAGGCCAGCAGCUGUAGCUCCGAUUAGACCCCUAGCCUGGGAACCUCCGUAUGCCACAGGUGCGAUCUUAAAAAAAAAAAAAA